AUGCAAGUCGAGCGGGGGAAGGUAGCUUGCUACUGGACCUAGCGGCGGACGGGUGAGUAAUGCUUAGGAAUCUGCCUAUUAGUGGGGGACAACAUCUCGAAAGGGAUGCUAAUACCGCAUACGUCCUACGGGAGAAAGCAGGGGAUCUUCGGACCUUGCGCUAAUAGAUGAGCCUAAGUCGGAUUAGCUAGUUGGUGGGGUAAAGGCCUACCAAGGCGACGAUCUGUAGCGGGUCUGAGAGGAUGAUCCGCCACACUGGGACUGAGACACGGCCCAGACUCCUACGGGAGGCAGCAGUGGGGAAUAUUGGACAAUGGGGGGAACCCUGAUCCAGCCAUGCCGCGUGUGUGAAGAAGGCCUUAUGGUUGUAAAGCACUUUAAGCGAGGAGGAGGCUACUUUAGUUAAUACCUAGAGAUAGUGGACGUUACUCGCAGAAUAAGCACCGGCUAACUCUGUGCCAGCAGCCGCGGUAAUACAGAGGGUGCGAGCGUUAAUCGGAUUUACUGGGCGUAAAGCGUGCGUAGGCGGCUUAUUAAGUCGGAUGUGAAA
rnacentral:rRNA from 1 species